GUACUCACUUCAGUAGCACACAAACUAAAAUUGAAAUGACACAGAGAAAAUUAGCCCGGCCCCUGUGUAAGAAUGACAUACAAAUUAGCGAAGCAUUGUGUUU
ensembl:snRNA U6 U6 spliceosomal RNA